rnacentral:sRNA from 1 species
AGGGAAGCUUGGUUAAAAACAGUUAAGGCAGUGGGAGUCGAAGCAGAGGGUCUGAAGUUCACGACUACUAGAAGGGGAGGGGAGUGGAAAGGCUCUCAGUGAAAAAGGUAUUAGAAUUAUUUCUGAAUUAUCAGUCUCUCAUUUGUGCUUUGGGGAAGCAGAAAAGGCAAAAGGGGUCUUUGGCCAUCUUCUGCUGGAGCUUCCAGGGAGGAUGUGUCUCCAAGAGACCAGAUGUGCCGGGUUUGAAAUCCCAGAAGCCCAAGAGGAAAAGAACCACAGGGAGGAAAAGACUGUCCAAAGGCUUCUGGAGUCUUCUGUGCUCUAACCUUGGAAGGUUUUGAAUAAUGUUUCUCAGAGGAUAGCCUUUCACUUACUCAUCUGUCCAGCAUGACUCAUCCCCAGGAGUGUUGAGUUGCAUGAUGGAAUUUGAACAUUACUUCAAGAGGUUUUGUGUUUUGGAUUAGUUAAUUGGGUUUGUCCUCUGCUGACCUUCGGAUGCAUUUUUUGGUGUGCUCUUGAGGAAUUAAAUGCAAAGAGAUCAUACCAUGGACUACAAGGAAAGCUGCCCAAGUGUAAGCAUUCCCAGCUCUGAUGAACACAGAGAGAAAAAGAAGAGGUUUACUG